UUUUUCCAAACUGCCGUCUGAGGGGACUGAGCAAUGGAGGAUGGAGGCAGGGCCAUGUCAUACCACAUCAUCAUACCACAUCCUGCCUCACCCUCCAACCUGCACCUUAUGGCUCUGUUGGCGUGGUAAUCAAAACGGACCGUUUCCUCUUGUCAACUUCGAAUGGGUGGCUUCUGGUUCGAGGUAUCCCAUGGGGCCAUAGGGCAGGGUGCGAUAAUGAGUGUUGCUGCAGAAGAGGAAAUUACGAGUAAAGGGGAAGAGGCAGUGAGAUGAGAAAGCUGGACAAUUAGACAUGAUGAGAUUGACUCUGAUUUCCCUCGCCAUGUGCCUUCCUCACCUCCUCGCCACUCUUGUCUUCCAUUCUACCACUGCGGCUUCACCAAGCGCCACAGAAACAACAACAACAGCUCUAGACCUUAGUAUCAGCACUACAACAUCAGACCCCCUGAUAAUUCCACUCUCCACAACUGAAAACCACCCUGGUAGGACUAGUGGCAUGUUCAACACACAAGUGAAGAAAAGCGCUAGCUUAGCAGCUGUCAACAACUCAGGCAGAACGACUCAAGGAAGAGGCAUUCUCAGAACAGGAACUGCCACUUACGCCACCACAGCUGUACAGAAGAGCAACAGGCACAUAACUGCAGGAGACUUGAGGAGGGAAACAGAGAGCCACAAUCACCAUGAGACUCUUCCCUUCAGCAGACACACAGCCUCACCCACAACUGACCACCCCAGCACCACCUCUCUCCCCGGGGAGGAAGGGACUGAGUAUCAUGACAGCAGCACCACUGAAACAGCCAGAGAACUGAGCACACCAAAUUCCAUAGAGACAUGGGCUGCUGACACCAUUAAUGACUCCAGGCUAGCGAAGCCACACUUAGACAGGUCACAAGCAGCAGACCAGCACCCUGCUACACAAGGACUAGAGAUUGCAUCAGGAGAUUACUACACAACACAGAGAGACUUCUUCACAAUCACCCCAACUAGUAGAGUGACAGGUUUGAACAGAGGUAAACAAAGUAAGGCCAACAGCGUCACAACAACAACAACAACGGUUUCACCUACGUACACAGUCACACGUCCUGGUUUGUAUGAGCACAUGACUGUGACUUACUGGGCUACCGGCUACAAAACACAACCUGACGACACAAGCCAGUCUAUGGACAACCAGGACCACGCCACCAUUUCAAUCCCCCAUGCUGACAAUAGGACAACUCCAUAUAUCAAUGCAAACACGUUUACAGAUAAUGACACAGACAACGACACAAACACACUUUCACACAGUAAUACCACAACCUCUAAUAAUCGUAACACAACAGUACUUUUGAAGGAGAAAACUCAUUCAUUCAGACACAACCACACAAUCUCAGGUUAUGACAACAGGCUGAACAACACAACUGAAAACACUGUGCAUGAUCGUCCUGAGUGCGGAGAGGCAGAUGAAAGGUCCCUGUCGUUGCUUCCUGGCUCUUCUAGACUGGUCUGUUUCAUUGUUCUGUGGGCUCUGGGAUUGACUGCUUCGGUCUUCCUCGGUCUCACUGUCUUCCUGUGGGUGCGUUUGUCAGUCCAGAGAGAGAGGGGAAGGAGAGUGAGGAGAGGAGGAGAGAAUGUGUCAGGGGUGGAUCUGGAGAACCUGUGGGUCGACCAGAUGUCGUCGGUGGAGGAAAGGGUUGAAUUCUGGUACACCAACGGCUCCACCAUGGGACCCGACCAUAAACGGAGGGAGAGAGAGAGAGAGAGGGUGAAGGAGAGGGGGAGGAGGGAGCAGGGGAGGCAGAAAGGGAUAGAGUGUGACAACCUGUGGACUCAACCCAAAGUGACACUGGAGGACAUCACUGAUUUCUGGUAUGCAAAUGGAAGAGCGAUACCAGAAGAAACUACAGACCAAACGCUGUUGGAGACCUGCGUAUGAUUCUGUUUUUUGUACUACAGUACUACAAUUUACCUGGAAUUACUUUGGAGAGAAAUGUUCAUCAUUAUUUUACCAAUUCCAUGGCAGAUUUGAACACUGUAAUCCUGACCAAGUUUAAACAUUUCCAAAAUGAAUUGAUAAUCUGUAUGUUUAUUGGCUGUAACAAAAGUAUAAGUAUGUGAUCUACAUAAGUCUACGGAAAGAUAGAUUAAGGCUGGGUCUGAUCAGAGAGAAAGAAGAGGACAGAGAGAGAGGAAUAGAGAGAGAGAUCAGAACAAUGUCUAACUGGAAAUAACACUUGAUAAGAGAGUUCCCAUUUUAAGACAAUUCAGACCUUGUUAGAGACACAUCAUCAUCGUGUGUCAGACAGCAACGAGGAGAUAGGUGCCAUUUCUACAAACACACUGACACAAAUACGGUUGACUCCUAAUACUGUACAUGCACUGUUAUUAGGAGCUAGUCAAAUAAAAAGGACUGCACUGGGCGUAAACAACUUAGUUUCAUUUACCUGACUGACCAUGUUUACACGCGCACAGCAUUCCAGAUAAUAGCUCAUAACCUAGUUAAGGUCUUAUUCGAGAUAAGCUGUUAAAAUACAUCUUUGAUAUCCCGCUUACGAGUAUCCCUGUAUAAACAGAAUAUUCCUAAAUUUACCCAUGAUACUAUGCAAAACUGAGCUUGUACAAACAAUGUAAAACAACAGUAAACGGAAUAAUAUAUUUGUAUGACACAGUAUCCCGUCUACAAUCAGCAUAUCCCAGGCAUUUUAACUGGGUUUCUCAUAACCGGGACACAAGCUUAUUCGGGUUAUUGUAAACGGGAUAUGAUGCUAAUAUGCGGCAACUAAAAAACGGAAUACUAGAAUAUCCCAAAUAGUAACGGAAUAUCGGUGUGCCUGUGAACAUGGUGACCUAUCAGGAAUUGACUAUAGGUCUACCUCACAAUUGAUAGUGGAUCGGCCAUUUGAUCAAUAAUGUAUAACUGUAAAUACAGUAGAAAAUAUACCCUUGUAGAAUUUAACACCUAACCAGCUGAAGUUUGACAUAUAAUGUCCCAAGACAUGAGAUUUUUUUUUUUUAUUACAUUAUAAAACAGAAUUUUCAUCAUACUCUCUCUACUUUGAAUUCUCAUGUUUUGACAACCUAUGCCCUUUGACUGCCUGCUCCCCACACACACGCACACACACCGUCAAACAAACACACAUCCAAGUAGGCCUGUGUGUACGUGUGCAAACACACUCUGGCUCAAACAUUUCAACACACACACACAGCUUCUUCUCUUUGUAGGACCAACUUCUCCUUUUUCAUCAAGAAAAUAAGCACAUGACGCAAUAAACAAAAUGAAGCUACUCUUAAGUUAUUUGGCACCUCUCUAACCCCACCACUUUCGCAGUUAACAAAACUGUUUUACGAAGAAUUUGAUACUCUGAGGGGAAGAGAUAGAGAGAACCAACUAGAGAGAGAAAGGGAGGGGAGAGAAAGAAGGGAGUGAACAGGAGGGAGGGAGGGAGGGAGCGAGCGAGCGAGAAAGGUGUUUUGGACAUGUACUAGUGCACGAGAUGUCAUUCACACAGUACAGGAGUUAAAGCAUGUGCCUUUAAGGUGGAUUCAUAAUUUCAAUCCAAUCGUUUUCUCCAAGCAACAUGUGGGUGUGUACUAAGCAAGCAUUUUACAUCUACAGCGGUUCAGACAGUGGAUGCUGUGAGGAGGUCUCGUGCUUUUUUUGGUUCACCGUUGCUGCAAUCUCUCACGCUACACUUGAAAUAGACAGCUGAUACAGAAAAGUAAAGUGAAGUGCAGGGGAGUAGGAGGAAAGCUGAAGUGCGCGAGAGGAAGAGAAGGGUUGUGUCUUUCCGGUCUAUUUGCACCUAAAUACACCCUAGUGAACAACAAGCCCAGCAACCAGGAGAGACAGCAAGAGAACACAAGUUUGACUAUGUAAGUGCACUUCAUAUGCCUAACACUCAGUCAAACCUUUGUUAAUAAUCUAAGGCAUGGCCUGAAAGAAAGGGAAAUUCCGAGAGCAGUGAAGAUCAAAGCCUGACACACAAUCGUUGUCAAACCAAGAACCCCGGUACCUGAUGACGGAUACCGCUUUUCUUUUCUAGAAUGUACAUUUUUCUGCUCUAGACUUGUAAAACAAACCUCCAAUACCUUUCAAGCCACAACGCUGUCGCUGAUGCACCUCAGAAAGAGGAAGACAAACGUAAUCUGAGAGAUCAGCAAAACCCUUCAGGGACGGUUGACCUCUGUGACCCCUCUCACUUCUUGCCCAGUAUGGAGCGGAUACAGCUGAUGCUUGGGGCUCUGCUCCUCUCCCUCUCUCUGCCCAGUCUCCCUGCCCAAGAUAAUGUCACCGUCACUGUACCUGAGAAUGUCACCAUGGCAGCACCUAUUAAUGAGGAAGUCACGAUGGCAGCCUCUACACCGGAGGCCACCAUAGAGACAACGCCUGCUCCUGUGGUCAUCACUAGGGCACAGCCUGCCCCUGAAAUCAUCACCCCGGUAACUGCUAUUCCGAAAGUAACUUCUGUUUUAGUACGUACCACUGAUGCCAUCACUAUGGUAAUAACAAACCCUGAGAUCACCAUCGUUCAGGAGUCCACCUCUGAUGCACCAACUACUACUUCAGAGGUUGAAACGAUGACACCUUCCCCUGUGACCACUGAAGGGCCUAUAGAUACGACCAAUCCACCUGGUCCUAAACCCACCCUCUCCCAAGACGUCCUUAUGACCGCCUCUUAUCUCCCAACCCCUUCCCAGGACCACCUGACAUUUGUUAUCCCAGUCUGGCCCCUCCAAACCACCCCUCAUCUGACGGAGGACUCCACUUACACACCUGAACCUACACCUGCCUCAGAGAUUACUGCCUACCACACAGAGGGACUUACCACUGCACCCACCUCCCCAUUGGUCAAUCCCCCUCCCGGCCAUGCCACGACCCCCGCUACCACCCACACCUCCACAGAUCCAGACUCUACGGUGGCUGGGGUCAGGGUGAAGACAGGUCAGCCCAGCUUGUUAUGGGUCAUCAUCGUUGCUCUCCUGAUCGUGGUUAUAUUCGCGGGCGGGUUCUACUGUGUUUGUCUGGUCAUCAGACGAAAGAGGCAGAGCCACACCGAGUACUUUGUGUCCAGCUUCCGGAACGGGAAGAGUUCCAAGCGGAAGAAAGGGGCGGAGGAAGACGCCUGGGCAGGGCCAGUGAAGCUAGGGCGUGGGGAUGGGGAGGAGGAUGAGGGUGGGGAGGAGGGAGGGAGCCCAGAGGACAACAAGAGAGAGGGGGCUGGAACGGAUGUGGUGCUGAGCACAUUCAUAGCCAACGAGACUGAGGGAGAGAGGGGUGGGCCUGAUGGGGGAGUAGGAGUGGCUGGGAGCAAGGAGGCAGAGAAAUGGGAGGAGAAGGAGCCUCUGCUGUACAUUGAUGAGGGAGUGGAGGAGGGGCAAGAGAGGAUGGCUCUUCCUUCACUUUCAAAAUCGAACUGAGAAAAGACAGGAGGGGAAAAAAGAGAGGGGGAAAGUGAAAAAGAAAUGGAGAGGGGAGAAGGGAAUGGAAAGAAAGAAAAUUAGAGUGAGAGGUAAGAAGAAUGGAGGAGCGGCAUUCUGUCUAACCACUGCAGUUUAAAAAUAGAAGAGUUUUCCAUAAAAAGAUUUUCUAGGUGAUAAUGUAAAAGUUAAAAAUAUUUUUGUACUACUGAAAAGGCCUUUGACAUUGUAUGUAUCUGUGAUUGUGUGCUCUGUCAACAUAACUCAGGGAAGAUAGGAGUGGUUGUGUGCAUGGUCAUAAGUUUUACCCUUGGUAUUUUGUAUGCUGUUUUGUCUUAAUGUUUUUUUGUUAAAUAAAGUUUUAGAUGUGCAGAGUGCAUGUUCUAGAAUGAAGUUGUU